rnacentral:rRNA from 1 species
CGCCGCGGUUAUACGAGUGGCCCAAGUUGAUAAAAACCGGCGUAAAGCGUGGUUAAGGUCAUACUACAAACUAAAGCCGAACCUCCUCACAGCAGUUAUACGCUUAUGAAGAAACUGAAGCUCCCCCACGAAAGUGGCUUUACUACCCCACCUGACCCCACGAAAGCUAUGGCC